CUCAGGGCUCUAUUGUUCCCUCCAUCAGGUCCUAAUGGCCUGGUACUCAGGGCUCUAUUGUCCCUCCAUCAGGUCCUAAUGACCUGGUACUCAGGGCUCUAUUGUCCCUCCAUCAGGUCCUAAUGACCUGGUACUCAGGGCUCUAUUGUCCCUCCAUCAGGUCACUAAUGGCCUGGUACUCAGGGCUCUAUUGUCCCUCCAUCAGGUCCUAAUGGCCUGGUACUCAGGGCUCUAUUGUUCCUCCAUCAGGUCCUAAUGGCCUGGUACUCAGGGCUCUAUUGUUCCUCCAUCAGGUCCUAAUGGCCUGG
ensembl:lncRNA